AUGGCCAGUAUCAUCACACGAAACAUAAUAUUGCAACACUGUCAUUGGGAAUUGUCUGCAACACAGCUUCGUUUAAGAAAACAAGAAGCUGACAGAUGCUUCCUCACCGUUGGCAUAUGGGAACUAACACAUUCAACCUGAAAAUGAACCUGAGUAGUUACAGCUGAACUGUGCUGCUGCAUGUGUUGGAAACCUCUCCUUCACCUAAGUAAUCCUGAUGCUUCUUGCUCCAUCUAGUUAGCUCCAAAGCUUUGAAAUUAAUACUGGCAAGUCAAAGUCAGUGCAGAACCGCUGUGCUCAUUGCUGGCUGAAUAAACAGCAGAGAAGAAAAGGGCCA
rnacentral:lncRNA from 1 species